UACAGAGGUCUCAAGCGUUGUUCGGAUUCAUUGGGCGUAAAGGGCGCGUAGGCGGUCAGCACAAGUCAGUUGUGAAAUCUCCGGGCUUAACUCGGAAAGGUCAACUGAUACUGUGCGACUAGAGUGCAGAAGGGGCAACUGGAAUUCUCGGUGUAGCGGUGAAAUGCGUAGAUAUCGAGAGGAACACCCGUGGCGAAGGCGGUUCUCUGGGACGGUACUGACGCUGAGACGCGAAAGCGUGGGGAGCGAACAGG
rnacentral:rRNA from 1 species